CCUACGGGAGGCAGCAGUAAGGAAUAUUGGUCAAUGGACGCAAGUCUGAACCAGCCAUGCCGCGUGGAGGAUGAAGGCCCUCUGGGUUGUAAACUUCUUUUAUUUGGGAAGAAACCCAUCUUUUCUAAGGUGGUUGACGGUACCAGAUGAAUAAGCACCGGCUAACUCCGUGCCAGCAGCCGCGGUAAU
rnacentral:rRNA from 1 species